rnacentral:rRNA from 1 species
UACGUAGGGCGCAAGCGUUGUCCGGAAUUAUUGGGCGUAAAGAGCUCGUAGGCGGCGUGUCGCGUCUGCCGUGAAAGCCCAUGGCUUAACUGUGGGUCUGCGGUGGAUACGGGCAGGCUGGAGGCUGGUAGGGGCAAGCGGAAUUCCUGGUGUAGCGGUGAAAUGCGUAGAUAUCAAGAGGAACACCUGCGGCGAAGGCGGGUUGCUGGGCCGACACUGACGCUGAGGCGCGAAAGCUAGGGGAGCGAACGGG